rnacentral:rRNA from 1 species
CCUACGGGUGGCAGCAGUAGGGAAUCUUGCACAAUGGGGGCAACCCUGAUGCAGCGACGCCGCGUGAGUGAGGACGUAUUUCGGUAUGUAAAGCUCUAUCAGUAGGGAAGAAAAUGACGUUACCUGACUAAGAAGCCCCGGCUAACUACGUGCCAGCAGCCGCGGUAAUACGUAGGGGGCAAGCGUUCUCCGGAUGUACUGGGUGUAAAGGGAGCGUAGACGGAAUAGCAAGACUGAUGUGAAAGCCCGGGGCUCAACUACGGGAGUGCAUGGGAAACUGUUGAGCUAGAGUGUCGGAGGGGCAAGCGGAAUUCCUAGUGUAGCGGUGAAAUGCGUAGAUAUUAGGAGGAACACCAGUGGCGAAGGCGGCUUGCUGGACGAUGACUGACGUUGAGGCUCGAAAGCGUGGGGAGCAAACAGGAUUAGAUACCCGUGUAGUC